rnacentral:misc_RNA from 1 species
UUCUGUGGUAAAUUUCAAGCACUUCAAGGAGCAAAAGAAGGCGCCGACACGAAGGGACUGGGUUUGACUCUGUGCAAGCCAGCGUGAUUGCUCUCUGCAUUUGGUCCUAGUCAUCUCAAGUGGUCCCGUGGCUCCUUCGUAAUCGCCCAUGCCUACUUGCGAACUUGAUCACAGCCAGCAAUUUGAAUGGAAUCGAUCCACUCCUUAAGUCUUGUCAUCUCAAGUGGUCCCGUGCCCCCUUCGUGAUCGUCCAUGCGUACUUACGAACCUGAUCAAAGCAAGCAAUUCGAAUGGAACUGAUCCAGUCCUUAAGUCUUGAAGGCUGCCUUCCAUUUCCAGCUGUUUUCUUCUGAGACCAGCAAAAACUCUGGGCAGCACUCGCCAAAUGAUAAUGCCAACCGUUA